rnacentral:rRNA from 1 species
GAUGAACGCUAGCUACAGGCUUAACACAUGCCAGUCGAGGGGAAACGACAUCGAAAGCUUGCUUUUGAUGGGCGUCGACCGGCGCACGGGUGAGUAACGCGUAUCCAACCUGCCCAUCACUUGGGAAUAACCUUGCGAAAGUAAGACUAAUACCCAAUGACAUCCCACGAAGACAUCUGAAUGGGAUUAAAGAUUUAUCGGUGAUGGAUGGGGAUGCGUCUGAUUAGCUUGUUGGCGGGGUAACGGCCCACCAAGGCAACGAUCAGUAGGGGUUCUGAGAGGAAGGUCCCCCACAUUGGAACUGAGACACGGUCCAAACGCCUACGGGAGGCAGCAGUGAGGAAUAUUGGUCAAUGGGCGAGAGCCUGAACCAGCCAAGUAGCGUGCAGGAUGACGGCCCUAUGGGUUGUAAACUGCUUUUAUAAGGGAAUAAAGUGGGUCCCGUGAGACUUUUUGCAUGUACCUUAUGAAUAAGGACCGGCUAAUUCCGUG